ensembl:ncRNA lncRNA:CR44276 long non-coding RNA:CR44276
AUGUGCCGGCUCGUUAGAAACGGUCAACAUUUGUUUUUGAUCUUAAGCGUUUGACUUGCGUUGGUUGGGAUCGGUCGUUUUUGCGUUUGACGUGCAGGAAUGCCGUCCACAAGCGCGGCAAACGCCGUAACAGGGUGUUCCUUUUACGCACGCACACACUCUCAUUAGAUGGACGCCACAUGAAGUUCACCCACAAGCGAAAACAAACGGGCUGUUGUGCACUCAUUCUCCCCGCACACACAAACACACACACAUACACACCUACCCCCUCACCCCCUUCCCAACCGACACCCUCUGCUAUGUACUUGAGUCAUCGUCCUAAAAACAACACAGCAGCGAAACGAACUCCACUUUAUUACACUAGAAAGAACAGGGGUAUGAGCUUUUAAAGGAUUAAAAUAAGUAUUAAGUAUUUGUAUUUG